AGAAGGUGGGCGGAGGGCGCCGCCGCUGUUCUCUUCUGUGAUAGGCUUCGCGUGGCACAUACGGCGUGACAGAGGAAAGGCUAAACAUGGAUACGGAACUGUAAUAAAUUAAAAUAUAACUAUUAAAAAAGAAAUGAAAGUCGCCACAGUGGCCUUUUACGGCUCUGUCCUGGGACUUCUGGGGAUGGGUCUACGGGAGCUGCUGGCAGGGUUCGAGGAGAACAGGUGCAGCAUGACGUACAUGUUCGAAUACCCCGAGUACCGGCGUGUGCAGCUACCCCGGCGGGUGGCCCAGCAGUACCCUGGAUAUGGGCUGUACCUGUAUGGGGAGGGCAUCUAUGCUCAGGAGACCCGGGGGCUCAAGCUCCGUGGUGCCCCUGUGCUGUUCUUGCCAGGAAAUGCAGGCAGUUAUAAGCAAGCACGCUCCCUGGGCUCUGUGGCACUCCGCAAGGCUGAGGACAUGGGCAACCGCAUCCACCUGAAUGUGUUCACGGUGGACUUCAACGAGGAGCUUGUUGCACUCUAUGGUGGCAGCCUCCGUAGGCAGACCCUCUUUCUGUACGAGAGCAUCAAGGCAAUCCUCAAGCUGUAUAAGGAUCAGUCAAACCCUCCUUGCAGCGUGGUACUGGUGGGGCACUCCAUGGGCGGCGUGGUGGCACGGGCGCUCUUUACCUUGCCCCGUUUUAACCCCCGGCUGGUGAGCCUCAUUGUGACGCAGGCAUCACCACACCAGGCCCCCGUGCUGCCGAUGGACUCCUACCUACUGGAGUUCUACUCUGCAGUGAGGGGGCGCUGGCAAGCAGGAGCAGAGGACCUGCACAAUGUUACAGUACUGUCGGUGGGUGGGGGCCACAGGGACUACCAGGUGCGCUCUGGCCUGACAGCCUUGCCCUGCUCCCAGGAGGACCCCAGCAAACUCUCCCUAGUGAGCACUGCUGUCCCCAGGACCUGGUUGUCUACUGACCACUUGUCUAUCGUGUGGUGCAAGGAGCUGGUUCUCACCACGGUACGGGCCUUCUUUGACCUCAUUGAGCCAGACAGCAGGCAGUUCACCCAGGAUCGAGACAAGAGGAUGGCUGUGCUGAAGCAUCAUUUUGUCAGGCACCCAGUGCGUCUUCUGGGGGACCAGGAAAAGGCAGUGGUCACCUUCUCAGGUCCUGCCGAGGGGUGGACAGAGGUCAACACCCUACGGCUGGUCUACAACUCCCACAAGGAGCCUGGGAUGAAGUAUUUCCUAUUUGCCCUCUCUGGGCGCAGAAAGGCCUACAGUCACUUCCAUUGCCGGAGCAGCAGCUUGGACAUGGUGAGCUGGCUGUAUGGAUGUACCCAGAUGAAUGGUUCGGUGUGCCUCCAAGGCGUGGACCUCUCCUGGGGAACAGAGCUGCUGCCGGCAUACAAAGUAGUGACAGUGAAAUUGAGUGAGCUGUCCUCUGUGUCCCACCUGGUCAUCGGUGCCUCCAACCUCAGCGGCAGACAGUUCAGUGUGGAGUGUGAGUGGCUAAACCUGGAGGCCCGGGAGGUAUCCAUACCCGUCCCACACAUCCUGUCCCUCGGUUUUACUGUCAGUGACGUGACCCUGAACUCCACCGGCCUUCUUCACACUGUACAGCUGCAACACUUCCACCAGGUGUAUCAGGCUUUCAGGAUCACCAUUGUGGGUCAGUGCAAAGCUGCCAAAGACCGGCUGCCCAGUGUGUACAGGCUGGUGGUGCCGUGGUUCCGUGAGGACUUCUUCACCACUGCCAACGUGCCGUCAGUCACUGAGAUAGCCGGCAUGUUACACACCAGCAGACCUGACAACAGUUCCAGUGUGCUUUUGCAGCUCCACACUGCCCCCAACUGCCAGUACAAGGUAUCAAUACGGACAUCCUUCAUCAAAGUCCUUGGCCAGGUGUUGCGGUUCUGUGGCCAAGCACUUCCGGUCUACACUGCGAUAGGUUUGCUGCUUGCCUGUGAGGGCCAGCUGAACUCCUUAAUCAAGACAGGUCGCCCUUUAGAGAUGAGUCAGGCUGCCGCUGGGGCUGUGCAGCUACACAAAGUGCACUUACCGGUUUACCUGCUGCACUUACUACUACGGGUCAGCUGGUUCCAGAGCUGCUGGUCUGUACUGUCCCUGCCCGCAGUGGACGUGCUGCCCCUGUCAGGGCUGAAUGUGGGCAAUUCUGAGGAACCGGGGCUGUUGCGGCCCACUGAGGACUGGACCCACCUGCUGGGCGGGCUGCUGCAUGUCCUGGGUGCCGCCGUGGCAUUCUGGGGCGGCGCGCUCUUCCGGCUGUCUCUCCGCAUGCUCUCCCUGCUGCUGGCCCCAUUACACAGGCCCUCUUUGUCUCGGAACACCGGCACGCUGCAGCCCUGGACUCAGCUGCUCCUCAGCUUUGUGCUGGGGCUCCUGGCCUGGGCCUCGUGUGGAGCUCUGGCUUUCAGCCUUGCGUAUUUGUGCUACUUGUACCGGGUGCUGAGGCUACUGAUGGCACAAAGAACUCUGAGACAUGUCCUGAAUUUGGCACCCCAGAAGGAGGCAAAUGAAGAGGAUAGUAGUCAGGAGAGAGUGAACGCACCCGCCUGCUCAAAAGAAAGCAAUGGUGGCACUCCUCUGCUUUCCAGCUUGGCACUGCAGGAGGUGACCAGUGAUCUGGAACUGCACCUGACCAUCUCCAUGCUGCUCACAUUGCCUCUGAUGCUGAGUGCACCUUCUUUGAUCCACUGGGCCCGGAGCCUGAGGCACACCCUCCAGCUGCGGCCUGACCCCUGCUGGCCACUCGUGCUCCCUCUGCUCACCAGUACUGUCCUGCUGAUCAACUGCAGCUCAGCCGCACUGUGCCAUAGCAAGCUCUUGACUCCAACUUCUAGACUGGUGCUGCCCCUCUGCGUCGCCAUGGUGUUGUUCACGGUGCUGCACCUAUACCGUCUGACCCCAUUGGUGUGCGUGCCUCUGGGCCUGGUGGCGCUUUCCAGCUUUGUUUGAGCACGCCUGUCAAUAAGGCUGUCCCACAGUGAUCUGUUCUCUCACUGUGUGACUGAUGACUGACUGCAGCUUCCAAACAGGGUCUUUGCCUGGCAGUGGUGUUGUCAGUGUUGCCAACAUACUGUGGUGUCUUUUUUUUUUUUUUCCUUUUUUUUUUUUUUGUCCAUGUGCUUUUGGGUCUUACUUGACUGACAGCAAUGUACAGUCUACUGUCUCUCCCUACCCCUUCCUGGCACAUUUCUCACCCAUAACACCCCACUGUCAGUCAGGGUCCAGCUUUCUGUUCUUCACUCUUAGCCUUAAAGAAUCAGUAAGGCCUCCAGGUAGGAGGGUCUCAGUGUUGACUAGGACCAGUGGUGUUCAGGUUCUGCAGUGAGUAGAGUGUAGAAAGCCCAGUGUGGUGUGUGUCUUGAACUAGGCUCUGCGGUCACCACGAUAUGUGUGUAAACUCUGUAAGAUACUGAUUGUGUGAUUUGUGUGUGGAGCUUUGGCAUAUGUCCCUACCACUUUUUCAGCUUCUGCCUUGAGCUGAUUGGAGGGGCAACCACAGCAGUGGUAAACAAAAGGAUUUUUAUAUUUAGGGAUCAGAUUGUCCUUUUUUUAAUUUAAAUAUUUCUUUUUAUAGUGUUUUGUACAGAUCUAAGCGUUCCAGUGGUCUGCGUCCACUCCCUGUGAGCCAGGCCUUGCUUCCCCUUCUUCCCUGUCACAAAGAAGGAAUGGGACCACCUAAAAGGGUUACCUGCCAUUGUCUCACAUUGAGUUCCAGCCCUGUAACCACACCCACUCCUAACCCCUUAAGUUUUAUCAUGCCUCCUUUAUAUAUGCGUGCGUGCGUGCGUGCGUGCGUGCGUGUGAGAGAGAGAGAGGGAGAGAGGGAGAAACCGGUUGAGGAAUUCAGUGUGAGAAGCUUGGAGAUGGAGGAUACAAUGGGUUUGUCACUUUCUUGAACCCUGUUUGCCCUAUCUGAGUGUCAAAAGCCGACUGGGAGAAACGCAGCCCUAUGAGAAAAGGCUGCCUAGUGCCCCAGCAGUGUUUCAGAGUUGAUCUGCCAUGUUGGUUUCAGUUGUGUAUUUCUGUACAGCCCACCCUCCUGUAGACUUGCAAAGACGCUCUCCAGAAGGAUAUAAACUUCUGCCGGAGGGGCUUCUCUUAGCAGCUGUGACCCACUCUAAAAACUCUGAGGUUUCUGAAGUCCACAGAGCAGCAAGGAUCUGUGCAGUGCAGCUGCAGCACCCACUUUCUGCCCUGCCCAAAGCCCCAUUGACCUUCACUGUGAUAAACCUCAUGGGCCUCUGGUGCCUUCUAGCAGUAAUGCCCCGUACACGUGUUGGUUGGACCACUGUCAUUCCCCCUGGUUUCAGUUGUGGCAAGGAGGGGAGGGAGGGCAGGUGUCCACUCACACAGAUGGUCCAGAAGAAGCAGAAAUGGUUUCUGUUGUACAACAUCAACCACAGUUGUUUCUCUUAUUGUUGUCAGUUUUGUGUCCCUGCAGAGCAGGUAGUAUGUUCAGGAUACAGUUGGGUUGGGAGCUUCAGCCCAUAGCCAUGUUCUUCUCCAUGUUGGUUCCCACCAGAACUGUUUUGUGGGUGUCCUCUCCAUCUGUCACUACUUGGUGACACACAUGUGCAGCCUGUACUGUGAAUGUACCUGUGUUGAUGUCAAUGUGUGACAACAGCAGUGAGAGGUGUGUCUAUGAGAGAGAGGGAGGGAAGGAGAGAGAGAUCAAGAGAAUGCAAUGUCUGCUGUGACCAAACAUUACCAACAACAAAAAACUACAGGCAUAAACCUGUGGGUUAAAAAAGAACAAUCCUAAGAUAUUUACGUGGAAUAUGAUAGUGUUUUAUAUUACUAUGAUUGUGAUUUGUACUCUUAUGCCAUGUGCUCUUGCUGUGCUUUUUCAAGUUUUUGACACCAGCUGUAUAUAGAACAAUCAGGGGCCUUGUGGUCCAGUGCCAGUGGGUCUGUUGCUAGGCAACAGCACACAGUUCAUGGUCUACCAGCCUGUGUGGGCUUGCUGUUGUCGGCAUAGAGCCAGCUCCGCAGUUUUGCCACGCAGGCACGUGGGAGAGCGGUGGUGUCUAUGGUGGCUCCACGGCAUACUCAAAUUACCACACUUAGUGCAUUGUAGUCGGCUGUGAAAUGUUCAUGUACUCUAUGGACAUCAAUGAAGCAUUGACGUUGUGAAAUGUCACGCUCCUUGUGUAUAUAACUUCGUUGUGAGCCGCGCUGUGUGUGUGUGUGUGUGUUUCUGCUGCAGUGAUAUGUAGACGCAUUGGAGAAAUGCAUAUCAGUGGUUUUUGUCUAACACAAGCCCAGCACACUGAAUUCUCUUCCCUCACCGGCACAACAUGCCGUCUCUGGUCAAGCACGUAUGAUCGCUCACAUAACCUAGGCUUUCUUAUCGAGGCUCAUCCUUAACUUGGCCUUUCUUAUCAAGCCUAACCCUUAACUCUAACCCAGAACAGACUAAGGGAGAACAGUCCAGUCUAGCCCUAAGAGCCACUGGUCAAAUGCCAUGUCUAGUUCUUUGCUCAUCUUUCGAUCUCACGUGACCAGUUUGUCACUUCUGAAAUGUUAGUGUCCAUAAAAACCCAACAGCCAUUUACCUGUGGGAUCCUCCCUGGGAACGUUGUCCCCUGGCUCUGCAUUACCCCGUGUGAGCGCGGUUUCUUUGCGGUGGUGCCACAGACCCAUGUGCCCAGUUCUCAGGUAAAAGCAAUGUUUCAACUGAGAUGUUGUUGUAAUGGUUAGUAAUAUUUUUACUAAUUUUGAUUUUCUUUAAAUAGUGCUAUUUGUACACACUACUGUUGUUGGAAUUAAAGUGAUAACGAUGUUGACUGUGUCUUGCUAAAUGACUGUUUAGGAGCCCCGACGUGAGCUUGAAGCAGUGAAGGACACACUCAUGGCACCAAGUGUUCAAGUGAAGUGCUCCUUACAAGAUUUCCUUUGAUGCCAAGCUGUCCAAGGAGAGUAAAAUCCACUGGCUGACAAGUGUCGAAUGUCAAGGAGAAUGAAGACUGAAGAGAAGGAGGCUGUUCUUGCCGGCUGGGUAACACCAUUAUUUUAAGUCUGCGUGAUAUGGUUUUUAUUGAGGGGAAAAAAAAAAACUCAUUACAAGUAAGUGCAUGUUAUUUAUAAAUAUAAAAAAUGUUAUUGUUAUUAGUGCAAACCGGUUGUUGGUACCUGACAAGCUCUUUAUUAGUUCUACAGCUUCCACCGUGAAACACACAGACACGUGGGAAGAAAAUGUGAAACAAGAAUGAUAGAACAUGUUUUUUAAAAAAAAAAAAAAGUUUAAUUCAUGCAAAGCAGCACAAACAAGGAGGAACAAACAGAGGGAAAAAGAUAAAUCCAGAACACAAAUAAUGAGAAUCGGAUGCUUUUUUAAACACACAUAAGAUCGUUACUGAGUAAUUUAAAGAGUAGAUAUUUAAGUGAAUCAGCUAAGGCUGAGCAGCAUUACAAGGGCCAUACAGUAAUUGUGUCCUCAUGCAGUUUGAUUGCCACUGUGUCACACCAAGGUAAAGUUUACCAUUAACCAUCACGGAAGUGUUUUUUUUUUUUUUUUUUUUUUUUUUAAGCGCAUGGCCAAGGACAAUAGGGGGAAAAAACUAUAAAACAUUUUGUUCAGAUAUCUGCCCUGUACCAAAGCCCAUGCCAUUUGUUAUAAGGAAAGUUUGAUGUCCAUUUUUGCAGGUUUUCUUAAAUUCCUGUGAGAGAGAGACAUGGUUAAUGUCCAUCACUCAAAAAGUCCUAAAAAAAAAAAAAAAUCGUAAAAAGUCAACCCUUGAAGAAUAAAAACAUAAAUAUAGCAAUGCUGCUAAUUUGCCAAAAACAAGCAAUGUUAAGAUCUUUUCGUUAAGUAUGCACACAAAAUCUCAUUAAAAUAUUCCAGUAUCCUUUCUGUGCCUUUUAAAGUAGUUUUAUAGUGUAGAAAUUAGAGGUGCGCCCAACCACUUAUCCACUAACGCAUCACAUUUGUAUUGAGUCACUCCCCAUUACUGCUUGCCCUGGUCAAUGUUCUGAGCCUAUCCCAGAAUCAGCAGGUGUAAUGUUGGGGAGUACACCCUGGACGAGACACCAGCCCAUCACUAGGUAGCCACAGAGACACACACACACAGAAUGACAGAAGUUUAGCAUCAACAAUUAACCUGAACUGCAUGUCCUUUGGCAGAAAUGUAGUCUUAUUACUGUUAUACAAGUUCCCUACAGAGAGACAGACACUUUACUGAUCUUGAAGGAGGCUCUAUGUGGCUACACCACUGUACAUACAAUAAAGUGACCAAAGAUACUGAAAUAAGUUACCACACUAAGAAAAGUGUAAGGGUGUGCAAAUGAACAAGAAGCUGCACUGACAGCUCGGUAGAUCCCUGACAGCAAAACGACACUUUACACAGCCGGGGGUGUAACAUUCUUUGCCCUCAUCUAAAAACUGUUGCAACAUGCAGAAUAUGAAAUAUCUACAUUGAAAAAUUAUUUAGGUGACAUGUAACUACACCUGUUUUAUGCAUUUCUAAAGAACUUAUGUUUAUGGUUGGCAUAGUAUACAUUAUUAUACAAACAUUCUGCACCCAUUAUAGAAUCUAAUGGCACAAGCUGAAUGUACUAAUAAGAGCUUUCAUGUGCAUUUCAUGGUAUUUUUCUAUUGAAACUAUGUUGUAAAAACUAAACAUUGUUUUAGUGCAAUGCUUAACAUUUAUUCUUUUUUAUGAAGUGCUUUCAAGUGCCACACAUCAGUUAAAAUUGGAAUUCAUGAUCACAUUCUUUCAGCUUUAAUGCUUUAAGUACAUUCUUGUACCAAUUAUUUCCUGUACCACAAUACUGCAAGUUUGUAAUUUUAAUGCUUGUAGCCUAAAACUAUCCAAAUAUGAGAAAAGCUGCUUCCAUCUAAUGACAGGGCCAGUCUAACACUAUAGGAUGCUUCUUAGAAAUUUCACGUUUGGGCCCUUAAAUUUCUUUGACAAUUAAACACUUUUCAACCUUUGCUUGGAGGCUUGAAAAACAAUGCAGACAAUUUUAGACAAAUUAUAUUUAUUCAUAUUCAGUCUGAUUCCAUCCAAUACCUUCUUCCAGAACCAUUACAACAAAUGUCACCUAUACAAAAUAAGAAGUUACAUACAAAACUCUGAACAAAAAUAAAUCUGGGACUAAAUUAACGUAGAAAAUCCGGAGCUGAAAUAAAAUAUUGCAUAAAAUAUAUCAAACCAAAAUGUGUCGGAUCGAGCCAAGCUAUGCUUAAUCUUAUUUGCAUCACUAGAGCAACAGCCAGACACAAAUUCAGUUAAGCGGAAUGGAGACGAAAGGAACAUACAUUCAUUGCGUUUCUUUGCACAUAUAACAGUCCCUGAUAUUUUUUUUUUAAACAUGUAACUAACAAUGGUCAACACACUCACUAUGAAACAGAGGUAACAUCCAUCUUCUGUACAUGUAAGGCUAUAAUACUAUGGGCUCCUAGUGGUUACUGCUUGCAGUCCUGUGCAAUUUUGCAAUUACAUGAAGGCUUAA